UAACUUGGUGUUGGUAAGCUGCUUUUAUAAUUGGUUAUCUGUUUCUCUUUUCCUUAGGAGCCUUGCAUCUUUUGGGAUUUCCUGAUCAUCUCAACUGCAGUUUGGCAUUUUUUCACUAGUGUUAUCCAGUCCUCAGGUGAAGCUGCUCUGUGUUGAAGAUGCUACAGACACCCAGCUGCAGAGCCCUGGGCCCAGGAGGCUCUAGGCACCGGAGGGGAGGUGAUCCAGGUGAGUCCCAGUGAGCAAGGGGUUCUGCCACCUUCUAACAGACAGUCCAGUGCUUCGGGGCCCCUGUUGGUAAGAGGUCACUGUGGAGGAGAGAGAAUGUGUGCAGCCUCAGAGGGCUGGAGCCACCUGCCAAUUAGGUUUGAUGGUCUUCAUCUGUCCUUGUACGGCACACGGUGAUGGCAGCAGCCUCCGACUGGGGUCGGAGCCAGUGGCCCGAGAACCUCUCAGCUCAGGGGAGGCGACCGAGUCAGUGAUCACAGGACCC